GCCGGAGUGGUGAAACUGGUAGACACAGUAGAUUCAAAAUCUACCGGGAGCGAUCUCGUGUCGGUUCGAGUCCGACCUCCGGUA
rnacentral:tRNA from 3 species